CUCCUCAAGUACCUGUUGAUUGAAUGCAAGUACCUGGGGAGUGGGAAGCCGAGAAAUAGCUAGCAGAGCUUGUUGGAUGUCCUGCGACUCUCGGGAGUGACAGCAGUGAUCUGAUCGUGUUCAUCCAGAGCCCCCCCCCCCACUCCGGUGUCCCCGGAGGGGCUCAUUGGGGCUGAAGACGCCGAAGGAAGACUUCCAUGGGGACCCUCAAUUCAUGUGUCAGAGACCGUGGGCGCAUCCUCCGUUUCGUAAACAGUCAUCGCCUAUUGGAUUGGGCCCAAAGUCUAGAUAAACUGGAAGCCGGUCUCGGAUGAAAGGAACUGCCGCUCUGCUCUCCCCUGCGGAGAAGAAAAGAUCGCCACCUCCUGUCAUUCCUUUCCAGGCUCUGGAUGUGGCUUCGGAUCAGCUUCUUCUCCCUUCCUGACUCCAAGUUGGGAAAUCAGGGGAGCAGCUUGAAUUGGGGGUAUAGAAGACCAAGUUGACUUGGCUGUCCAUCUGGGAACGUUCUAUUCACCCACCUCCCCCGCCCCCUUUCUUAUGGUCGAAAUCCAAUUUAAGUCACAAACCACCAAAGUUU